GUUAUAACGGCUCACACACAGACAGACACAGACACGAUUCCCUAACAGCAGCACACUAACAAAAGGAUGAUGAGGAUGUCAGGAAGAGUCAUGAGUUGCUGUGCAGCUCUGUUCCUUGCACUGGUAUCUGUGUCAGCUAUAGAAAGACUCAGAACAAUGAAUGAUUUGAAGAAAAUCAACUUUGGUCAAUCUGUGCCCAAACAUACUCUCCUACUUCUCCACUGGUUUGCCAACGAAGUUGAUAUCGACAGCAACAACAUCAUACGGUUGACCUUUGACCCAAACAAUGAUGAUUUUGGAUCACAUCAUUAUGGCAACUUUGAGGGGAUGCUGGAGCCACCGCCUCGGGGUUACCGGUACUACACUGUUGGCAAUCUCCUUCCAGACGAAGGUGAACAACUUCCAGAUUACGUCGCCCAUCCCCGGGCAGAGUAUGCGGGAAGAAACCUGGACCGAAUCGUGUUCAGUGUCAGGCUGCAGAACACAGGACAGCAACUGAUAGAUCAAGUGUACAUCACACAGCAUUAUGGCAUCCAUGGAAAUACGACAUAUAAUCCUGAGCAUACCUAUGAGAUCACGACAAACCUCCUGAGAACAAUCCGAAAGUUUUCAGUGGGAGCAAACCAGUCACUGAGGAUUCUCAGAAAUCGUUAUGGAAGUAACACUAGUGAUUUCCAGUUAUCAGAAAUCAGAAACCUAUGGGGGAACCUUGCUUGUCUUGGACUGCUGUUGUUUAUUGUGAUCGAGGAAAGGUACAACUUUGACCAACAAAGUGCCCGCCUUCAGAGUGGGUCAACAGGAGGAAACAGGGUUGUGACACAACCUUGUAUCCCUCAUAACAAUUUCCAAGGCCCCAGAUCAAAUUGGUGGUAUUGUGAAACAUGCAGUCUCAUUUUUGUGCUUAUAUGUAUUGUCUUUGCCAUUCUUGAUUCCCUCAGGUAUUUCAAUGGUAGAAGAUAAAAAAAUAAAUAAAACGAAACAUACAAUAAGCAAUAUUACUUUUAAGAUGAUUUGGAAUCAAGCAGUUAAGACUGAUCAAUGGACCUGGAUAAGGGCUAAUUCUAAAAGCUGGUGUAUGCUCUGCUUUGCUUUCAUGUUCAUUUAAGUGGUGCUACAUUAUUUUCUUAACACUGUUCUGGUAAAUAUUGAGAUAGAGGUUGUGUUCAUGGACCAAAUCACAGAGAGUCUUCAGGGUGUCACUACAGGUCAGCACAAUUUAGGCUAAAGUACCAACAUAAAAACUAUCUGAUCAGAUCUUAACAAAAUGUAGACAUAAGUUAAAGACAGUGGUGUGAUGUUAGUUCAGAUUAAAACCAGCGUAUUAAAAUUUAAUUGGAAAGAAUCUUGCUUGCCUGGAAAAAUUACAGAACAAAAGAUUAAGGACAUAUUUUACAUUUAUUAGACCAAGAAGUGUGGUCCAAGGGGUUCUACUUAAAAAAAAUAAACCACACCUAGUUAAUUACAGCACAAACUUUUUUAAAAUAACUAUUUGUGUACAUAGUAAGGCAUUAUACUGGUCUUAACGCUUCAGGCUUAAUUCAUAUUCAAUGUCAUGCUCCAGCACGUCUAAUCGAAUAGUGGUGACUCACUGUUCUUUCAUACGUGUUCCCUAGAGAUGAAGAGAAAGUAAAUAGCUCUGAUGCAAAGAUGAGAUCCACAAGUGAAAGGAUUGAUGGCGUGUUAAGCAUAGCUCACAUUGAUAAUGUAUUAGCAUUAAAAAAAAAAAUAGACUUAUAUUUGAAAUAUGGUUUUGUAUUCUUGCUAUAAUAUUGUAAAUGGGGUGUUGAUUGAAUACACACUGCUGUUUGUUUGGUGUGUAAAUAAAAGGUUUAAAAGACAA